rnacentral:misc_RNA from 1 species
AAUAGCAUCCUGUUUCGAUACAUUAUAGUUAGAUGACAAGAUAAAACAGUAAUAAUUUUGUUCGCACUAGCGAGGUGCGAGAAUCGAAAUGUAAUGAAUGUAAAUAUCCUAAAAGUGCUAAGUGUACGAAUAAAAUGACAAUGACAUGGAAGCGAGUUAAGGAGCAAAUAGGAGUAGCCAUCUAUAAUUUUGCACAUCCAACCUCGUACGCAAUAUGCUUGACAGUCGGAGAGGUUGUACAGAUAUUAGAGGAGUACGGAGAUUGGUAUUAUGGCCGCAGCAAGUCGAAGGGUACAUGUGGAAUUUUUCCAAAAGCCUAUAUACAUAUCCUACAGAAAUCGGCAAAUACGGAUAAUUUAGUACAUGAAAUCACUAACGUUUUGAGAGAAUGGGGCCAUCAUUGGAAGCAUCUAUAUAUGACACACUCCGAGCACUUCAGGACAAUGCAGCAGCAAAUUUUGGAUGCAAUAGGAUACAGAAGCAAGAUUUUAAGUGGCACUCUAACAGUAGACGAAUUAAAAGAUAUGAAAAGAUUAGCAACAGCAAGAAUAGACACUGGGAAUCAACUGUUGGGCUUGGACAUGGUAGUGCGAGACGAGCAUGGAAAUGUUUUACAUCCAGAAGAAACAAGCACUAUCCAAUUAUAUUAUCAUCAUGAAACUGCUGCAGAAAGAAUAAGAAAGGCAUCUAAUGACACCAAGAAAAAACCCCAUAAGCCACAAGUACCUGUAUAUUCACAUAUCUUUUUUGUCAGUGUGAGAAAUUUUGUAUGUAAAAUGACGGAGGAUGUAGAGCUGCUAUUAACUUUGUACGACGGUAGAGAGAUGAAAGCUAUCACAGAAAAUUACGUAGUAUCGUGGAGUAAAGAGGGACUCGCAAGGGACAUCGAUCAAUUGCACAACCUUAGAGUACUCUUUACGGAUCUCGGUUCCAGAGAUUUGACGAGGGAUAAAGUUUAUUUAGCCUGUUACGUGAUCAGAGUUGGUGGAAUGGAAGCCAAAGAACCGGAUCAUCGUCGUUCGAGCGUGGCACAAAUUAAUCAGAAUAAAUCCAAAGGCGUGGAGAAUAUGAGGAGACCGUUUGGUGUAGCUGCGAUGGAUAUUACUUUGUUUAUUACCGGCAAACUCGAGGGAGAUGUUGAACAGCAUCAUUUUAUACCUUUUAUACAUUGUGAGAAGGAUAGUCUUGAUGGUAUAUUACGCAGGAUAAUCGCACAAAAAGAAGCAAAUAUCCAAAAACAUAUGAAUGGCAAUAUUACUAAUAUCACUGGUGGACAAGGAUUAUGGACAAGCUUAAAAUUGUUAAGAGGUGAUCCUAAGCAGGUGCGAGAUGAAAAUCCACAUCUUGUACUCGGUAACGUCGCUAUUGCGCGUAAAAUGGGAUUUCCAGAAGUUAUUUUGCCAGGUGAUGUACGCAAUGAUUUGUAUUUGACUUUAAUUAGUGGUGAAUUCAGCAAAGGCUCAAAAUCUACAGACAAAAAUGUGGAAGUGACGGUUAAAGUAUGCAACGAACAUGGCAUAGCAAUUCCUGGAGUCAUGACAUUAGGUGGCGGUGCAUCUCCAAUUGACGAAUAUCGUAGUGUUAUUUAUUACCACGAAGACAAGCCUAGAUGGUGCGAAACGUUCAAGAUUGCCAUACCUAUAGAAGAAUUCAAGCAGGCUCACUUAAAGUUUACAUUCAAGCAUCGCAGUUCUAACGAAGCGAAGGACAGAUCCGAAAAACCAUUUGCUUUAAGUUACGUUCGAUUAAUGCAACGCAAUGGAACAACUCUGCAAGAUAUACAACAUGAAUUAUUGGUUUAUAAAUUAGAGCAAAAGAAAUAUGAUGAGAGCGAUAUAUCUUACUUUAAAUUGCCAUCAACACGUGGAGAAUUGGCUGAAUUAAAUCUGGAGAAAAAACCAAGUUUUGGAACACUAACAUUGAGCAGUAAAGAUAGCUUUUUGAUAGCGACAAAUAUUUGCUCAACUAAAUUAACUCAGAAUGUAGAUUUGUUAGGUUUACUUAAUUGGGCAUCACAUAAUACUGACUUAAAGGAAUCUUUAGCUGCUUUAAUGAAGGUUGAUGGGGAAGAAAUAGUAAAGUUUCUUCAGGAUGUUUUGGAUGCUUUAUUUAACAUUUUAAUGAGUAAUUCGGACAGUGAUGUCUACGACGACAUGGUUUUUGAGUGCCUUUUAUAUAUUAUCGGACUCGUGUCCGAUAGAAAGUAUCAGCACUUCCAGCCAGUAUUAGAUUUAUACAUUUCUGAAAGUUUUUCUGCAACUCUCGCCUAUAAGAAAUUAAUCACGGUAUUACAUAAGCGUAUAAACAAGGUCGGCAACAGCGAUGGUCAGGAGCGUGAUUUAUUACUGAAGACAAUGAAAAGUCUGCAAUACUGCAUGAGAUUCAUUGUCGAAUCUCGUCUUUUAUUUACUGAAUUAAAUCAGGACGAAGAAGAAUUCUCACAAACAUUGACCGAUUUGUUGCGAUCUAUCGUUAAUUUCAUGAGUUAUGAGACAGAUGGGACUCUGUUGGUUCAAGGAGCGUGUCUCAAAUACCUACCAACGACGAUACCUCAUUUAUUAAGGGUUUACAGUGGCAAGCAAUUGAGCACGAUUCUGACAGAUUUACUUGUGACUCUACCAGCGGGUAGAUUGACCAAGCAAAAGAUGAUGACGGUGAACGACAUCGUUCACAGUCCGCUUUUUCUAAAUGUGGAGUGCAGAGCGAUCUUACUGCCUAGGAUUAUCAUACUUGUAAGAGAUUUAUUGGAAGCUAAAGAAGAGGGGCUAUCAAGUACGCCUGGAAAGAGCGUGGCGAAGGUAGCCAGGCUGCUAGGCGAAAAUCGACAUCGACUCAACCAGCACCGCGGCUACUCCGAAGAGGUGGAACUAUGUGUCAAGAUAUUGUCUGACAUUCUAGAAUUAACUUUUAGAAAAGACAUAGGCAGUACAAUUUCGGAUGUCAAGGAGAUAAUGUUAACAGCCCUACGCACUAUUAUACAGACUGUUAUAUCAAUGGACAGAGAAAAUCCCUUAGUAGGAAACUUGGUCUCAGUCAUGCUGGCGAUAUUCAGACAAAUGACACAACACCAUUACGAAGUAUACAUUAAUCACUUCGGAACGAAGAUUGAUUUACUUGACUUUCUCAUGGAGAUACUGCUGGUCUUUAAAGAUCUAGUUUCUAGAAGCGUAUUUCCAGGGGAUUGGUGCGAAAUGAUUAUGCUACAGAAUAGCGUUAUCUUAAAGUCCUUGCGGUACUUCUCGGGCACAAUUAGAGAUUACUUUUUCACCGAGUUUGAGCAGCAAGCAUGGUCAAAUUUCUUCCACUGCGCUAUCGCGUUUUUAACUCAACCUGCUCUACAAUUGGAGAUAUUCACACCUGCGAAACGAAAUCGCAUUAUCACGCGUUAUAACGACAUGCGCAGAGAAACCGCGUUUGAAAUCCGAUCAAUGUGGUUCAACUUGGGACAACACAAAAUACUCUUUGUACCCGCUCUAGUUGGCGCAAUUCUUGAAAUGGCAUUAAUACCUGAAACAGAAUUGAGAAAAGCUACUAUACCCAUCUUUUUCGAUAUGAUGCAAUGCGAAUACUAUAGUUCACGCAUAGUGGAAGGAUAUGGAGACACUAAACGUGAUCCUGCUCACAUCAAAGCUAAUUUUACAGAAUAUGAAAACGAAAUGAUAGCAAAACUGGAUAUCUUGGUGGAAGGAGGCAGAGGCGAUGAACAAUUUCGUACGCUUUGGAUGCAUGUUAUGGGUUCUUUGUGCGAGAAACAUUCUACGAUGCGAGAACAAGGGUUACGCUUCGUGGACACAAUCGCUAAACUCAUGGAACGCUUGUUGCAAUAUCGCGACAUUAUUCACGCAGAAUCCCAAGAACAUCGUAUGCUUUGCACCGUAAAUUUAUUAGAAUUCUAUUCCGAGAUUAAUAGGAAGGAAAUGUAUAUCAGAUACGUGAAUAAACUAUGCGAAUUACAUUUAGAAUGCGAUAAUUAUACGGAAGCAGCUUAUUCUCUGAAACUCCAUAGUCAAUUAUUAGCAUGGAGUGAUCAACCUUUACCGCCUUUGUUAAUAUCGCACAGAUAUCCAUUGUGCCAGACACAUCGUGAACUAAAGGAAGCAUUAUACAAUGACAUCAUCGAUUACUUUGACAAGGGAAGAAUGUGGGAAUGCGCUCUUGCCGUUUGCAAGGAAUUAAUAUCGCAAUACGAAGAAGAGACAUUCGAUUACUUGCAAUUAUCUGUAUUAUUAAGACGCAUGGCAAAGUUCUAUGAUUGCAUAGUGAAACAGUUAAGACCUGAACCAGAAUACUUCAGAGUCGCAUACUAUGGUAAAGGACAUCCUGUUUUUCUCCAGAACAAGGUGUUUGUUUAUCGAGGAAAGGAAUACGAACGACUUAGCGAUUUUUGCUCAAGAACGUUGAAUCAAUUACCGAACGCGGAGCAAAUGAACAAAUUAUGUCCACCUGCGAUGGAAAUGCUGGAAUCCAAUAAUCAGUAUGUGCAAAUUAACAAAGUGGAGCCAUUGAUGGAUGAAAAGAGGCAUCGUCUAAGUGGUAAACCAGUUACUGCAGAAGCAGUUUUGAGAUACCAUCGAGUGAAUGACGUACAACGCUUCAGAUUUUCAAGACCCGCGCCAAGAAAAGAAAUUAUUUCGAUAGCUGGUGAUAAAGAAAAGGAAGUAAAUGUUGGCACUAACAACAGUAAUGAGUUUGCUUCCUUGUGGUUGGAAAGAACAGUACUUGUUACAAGUUACCCGUUGCCAGGAAUUCUUCGUUGGUUUCCUGUGACGUCUAGCGAGACAUACUUAGUCAGCCCAUUAAGAAAUGCGAUUGAAACUAUGGAAGCUACGAAUACAGCAUUGAGGGAUCUCAUUGUUGCUCACAGAAGCGAUCCCAGUCUUCCGUUAAACCCUUUGAGCAUGAAAUUGAACGGCAUAUUGGAUCCAGCAGUAAUGGGUGGUAUCGAUAAUUAUGAAAAAGCUUUCCUCAACGCGGAGUACAGAGAUAGCCAUCCGGAUGAGAGUUCAGACCUUCUCAAAUUAGAAGGACUUAUUGCGGAGCAAAUUCCCCUCCUCUGUGUAGGUCUUCAGUUACACAAAACACGAGCGCCUAACGAGUUGGCACCGUUUCAUCAACGUUUAGAACAAUGUUUCGUGUCAAUGCGUAAUCAAGUAGAAGCAAAAUAUGGAAAAAGGACAUGUGAUUUGCAAAUUGAGAGCCUAACGCAAACCGUGACCAUGCGAAGACCACCAACUUCACGAGGAGAUAAUCACUGCCUGUCUGAGUCAAAUAUGAAUAAUUCAGAGGUAUCCUCACUUACAAGACCCCAAGUUGCAACGUUUAAAUCACUUGCAUCGUUCAAUUUUAACAACAGCACAUCACCGAGUGGUGCUCAAAACAUCAAUUUGUCAAGGAAUAUUGCUGUUGGACCUGAUAAGCUCUCGCAUAAUACCUUGUUAUCCUUUCUUCGCACUUAGCACUCCUUAAUAUAUAUAUUUUACAAUAUUUCUCAUAUUUACUUAUAUUUUUCAUUUUUUUUUUUAUUUUAUACGCUUCAAAAGUAUUUAAAGUGUAUAAAACAUCACUUUAUACACCUUUGAAACAUUUUAUAUGAUAUAAAUAAAUUCAUACAUGUUCUAUCUGUUUGUGUGAGGAUAGAUAAUGUAUUUAUAUUAAAACUAACUAUAAAUAACCUUCAAAUUUAUGCAAGCAUUAUUUUGAAAAAUAACGGAUUCAAAAUGCAGACUUUAAUUUUACAUCAGAAGCACAUAAUGGGACAAUAAAAAAUGUUUCAAGUGCCACAUAGCUGUAUUCCUUUAUAUGAUAAAAAUUAUAUUAUAAAUAUAUUAGUUUCUUUACAUUCAUUAGCAUUUUUAUAUUUUCUAUCUCUCUCUUUAUUCCGCUUUUCAUCUGCAUGUGAUUUUGUUAUGCAUUUUUCACAAUAUCAUUAAUAAAUGUUCCUGGAAUAUAUGUCUUCUUCAACUGGCAAUCUGCUAAACUUCUUUAAAUCUGCAAUACUACUAUAGGAACAACUCCAUGCGCUCGCAUAUAUUGUCAACGGCCUCUUUGCAAAAGGCCUUGGGAAAUCCGAGUCCAGGAACGUAUAAGAAGAAAGAU